rnacentral:rRNA from 1 species
AUUGAACGCUGGCGGCAGGCCUAACACAUGCAAGUCGAGCGGAGCGGCGGACGGGUGAGUAAUGCCUAGGAAUCUGCCUGGUCGUGGGGGAUAACGUCCGGAAACGGGCGCUGAUACCGCAUACUAUCAGAUGAGCCUAGGUCGGAUUGGCUAGUUGGGGGGGUAAAGGCCUACCAAGGCGACGAGCCGUAACUGGUCUGAGAGGAUGAUCAGUCACACUGGAACUGAGACACGGUCCAGACGCCUACGCGAGGAAGGAGUGGGGAAUAUGGGGCAAUGGGCGAAAGCCCGAUCCAGCCAUGCCGCGUGGGGGAAGAAGGGCUUCGGAUUGUAAAGCACUUUAAGUUGGGAGGCGGUACCAACAGAAGAAGCACCGGCUAACUUCGUGCCAGCAGCCGCGGUAAUAC